CUAGUUUCUUGAAAAUGCAUGUAUAAACAUAUUGAUGCAUUUUCUGUGAGAAUUGUUUGGUAGUUUUCCUUAAUUGCAUCACUUGUCGUCUCUUUGAUUUUACAGUCUGCAUCACUUGCGCUUGGGAUGAUGGUUUCUCUUUCUAAUGAAGUCGCUUAUCUUCUGUAUAGGAUUUUACUGAUGCAAGUGAAACCUCUGGUAUGAGUCAUCACAUGUUUGCCUAGAUUCCCCUGUCUGUGUAUUGGGAGUUUUUGAUGGUCGAUGAUGCAAAUCUUGAAAACUUAAAAGUAAGAAUGAUUGAUUAUUCUUGUGUAAU